rnacentral:rRNA from 1 species
AUACGGAGGAUGCAAGCGUUAUCCGGAUUUAUUGGGUUUAAAGGGUCCGUAGGCGGGCAUAUAAGUCAGGGGUGAAAUCCGACAGCUUAACUGUCGAACUGCCUUUGAAACUGUAUGUCUUGAGUGAGAUUGAAGCAGCUGGAAUGUGUAGUGUAGCGGUGAAAUGCAUAGAUAUUACACAGAACACCGAUAGCGUAGGCAGGUUGCUAAGUCUUUACUGACGCUGAUGGACGAAAGCGUGGGGAGCAAACAGGAUUAGAUACCCUGGUAGUCCACGCCGUAAACGUUGGAUACUGUCUAUUGGAAUUUUCAGUGGAUAAGCGAAAGUGAUAAGUAUCCCACCUGGGGAGUACGUUCGCAAGAAUGAAACUCAAAGGAAUUGACGGGG